AAAGCGUGCGCAGGCGGUUAUAUAAGACAGAUGUGAAAUCCCCGGGCUCAACCUGGGAACUGCAUUUGUGACUGUAUAGCUGGAGUGCGGCAGAGGGGGAUGGAAUUCCGCGUGUAGCAGUGAAAUGCGUAGAUAUGCGGAGGAACACCGAUGGCGAAGGCAAUCCCCUGGACCUGUACUGACGCUCAUGCACGAAAGCGUGGGGAGCAAACAGGAUUAGAUACCCGGGU
rnacentral:rRNA from 1 species